rnacentral:rRNA from 1 species
UACGUAGGGGGCAAGCGUUGUCCGGAAUCAUUGGGCGUAAAGAGCGUGUGGAGCGGCCUGAUAAGUCGGCUGUGAAAGUCAAGGGCUCAACCCUUGAAUGCCGGCCGAUACUGUCAGGCUAGAGUCCGGAAGAGGCGAGUGGAAUUCCUGGUGUAGCGGUGAAAUGCGCAGAUAUCAGGAGGAACACCGGUGGCGAAGGCGGGUCUCUGGGCCGGAACUGACGCUGAGGAGCGAAAGCGUGGGGAGCGAACAGG